UAAAAGAAAGCUUCAAUCAGUCUUGAGUGG
rnacentral:piRNA from 1 species